AUCUAGAUAGUUUAAGUAAAAUAUUGGUUUGUGGUGCCGAUGAUAUGAUUUUUUGUUUUAGAUU
rnacentral:tRNA from 1 species